GUGCAGCAGUCGCGAAACCUUUGCAAUACACGCAAGUGUGACAGGGCCAUCCCGAGUGCCGACCGCUGAGGAUGGCUUUUACCCAGUCUAGAAAGCUGGGGGAAUAAGGAGAGGGCAAGUCUGGUGUCAGCCGCCGCGGUAAUACCAGCUCUCCGAGUGGUGUGGACGUUUAUUGGGCCUAAAGCAUCCGUAGCUGGCUGAACAAGUCCCCCGUUAAAUCCACCGAUUUAAUCGUUGGCUUGCGGGGGAUACUGCUCGGCUAGGAGACGAGAGAGGCAGACGGUAUUCCCGGAGUAGGGGUGAAAUCCUAUAAUCCCGAGAAGACCACCAGUGGCGAAGGCGGUCGGCUAGAACGCGCCCGACAGUGAGGGAUGAAAGCUGGGGGAGCGAACCGGAUUAGAUACCCGGGUAGUCC
rnacentral:rRNA from 1 species